CUCAUGGGUCAUUAGUUCCCAACUCCUGGUCUAGAUGACUCGCUUUAGUCAGGGGUCUUCAGAGAAACAGAACCGAUUGGAUAUAUAUGUAGGAAGAGAUCUUUUCUAGGGAAUUGGCUCACAUGAUCAUGGAGGCUGUGAUGUCCCACCAUCUGCUGUCUGCAAGCUGGAGGACCUCCCAACUUGGCUGCCCGGACAAGAAGACGGGAAGCGAAUGCUCCAUGUCCCAGGAUUCUUGGCAUCUGGGAUCCUCACCUGAGCCAGAUUCUUCCAGCACACCAUAGAAAUUCCACCUGAGUUUCCAGCAUGCUGCCUGUGGACUUUGGACUGAAGCCUUCAACAUCAACUCUUAGCUCAAUUUCCAGCCUGCUGGCCUGCCCUGUGGAUUUUGGACUUGCUGGCCCUCAAAAUCAUGGCAACUGUGCAGAAAUACGUAUGUACAGACAUGCAACGGCCUUCACCACCCAAACCACUGGCCUCACUGCACAAUUAUUCCUUGGGGUCUGCCGUCAUCCUAGAAUAUAUAGAACGGAGGACUCACCCAAUUUACUAUUUUAGAAAUAUUCUCUAAAUGUGAACAAGUGUCUCACAGCUCACAAAAUCCCAUCAUCUUUCCCAGGGUCCCGCCACUGGCAGACGUCACUUCCCUGGGCCCCCCUCCUAGGUACAGUGGGCAGAGGGCUCCCCAUAAUGAAAUGCAGUGAUGUCUACUGGCAGUCGCCCAACCAGGCUGGAACCAUUUGGAGAGGAAAUCCACAUGAGUCCUUCUAAAUGGCUUGGGGUCUGCAGAAAAGGAAGUUUGACCAGAGGGUGGCAGGACCCUCCCGGUAUCUUGUCAUGGGGUCAUGGUCAACACCCAAGCCAUCGGAUGACAUCUGCAUUGUGCAUCAACAUAGCUGGAGGCCUGUACCUUCGAUGUCCCUCUAACGAAAGCCCCUACCUGUGUCUGGGUUGGAGAUGAAUAAGGACAACCCAAUGUUGAACUUAGUGGCCAACGUCUGGAGCCGGACAUUGCUGUCUUUGUGAAAAGAGCUUCAUUACCACUGGUCCAUGUGGCCUCCUUGACCACGUUGUUCUGGCCAUCAUGGCACCCAGCUUGUCCUCUGAGAGCAAAUGGGCUCCAAUGAGAACAGGGAACCUCCAUUGCUGAUGAUGAUGGUCCACAUGUUGAGUGGGAAGGUUCUAGAGAUGUAUUAUCUAACAUGAUAGCAACCUGACCCCUGUGGCUAAUGAAAUUGAAAUUGAAAUUAUUUAAAAUAAAAUAAAAUUUACAAGUCACUUCUUUGGUCAAAUGAGCCACAUUUGCAGUGCUCAGCAGCCACCCUAUUGUACCUCAUUGCUUGGAACAUUUUCCCAUAACUGCACAGAAUUCUGUAGAACUGACCAUGCUGGUCUAGACACUGGAUAUUUCUAAGAAUUAUCCAAUUACAAAGACAUUAAAGUAUUUUCAAUUUCUGGAAUUCUUCUGAUUAUAAGUUUCUAAGGCACGUGGAUGACACCCACAUAAAAUACAUCUGGCAACAUUCUCUUCAUUACCAGGACACAAAUCUAUCUACCUCAAAACUUGCGGCUCACUAGAUAAUGUAAAAAGUCCUGCUAUGAAAGAAAGCCAGAUUCUGAAGAAUCCCUAAAAUCGCCCUGUUUCUAAAUAGGUAUGCAUAGUCAUAUUAUCCGUAUGUAGUGUAGUUAUGGAAGUCUACGACUCUGUAUAAACACGUAUCUGCAUAUACUUACGUUCCAUCACUACCAUGUUAUCACCUCUAGAAGAACAAAAGACAAGACUUGGGCUUCUCAGAGGAGGAACCAGCAAAAACCAUCAAGAAGCAAAAAACGUUGACCAGUCGUGUUUGAAAAUGAGACAUGAGAGCUGUGCCCAACACCGUUGAGAUGCACAAGAUUGCCCGAAGUAAGAAGGCUGGCUCUUGGGCACUUGGGGGGCUCAGUGGGCUAAGCGUCUGCCUUUGGCUCAGGUCAUGAUCCCAGAGUCCUGGGAUCG